ACGGAAGGCAGCAGUAGGGAAUCUUCCACAAUGGGCGAAAGCCUGAUGGAGCAACGCCGCGUGUGUGAUGAAGGGUUUCGGCUCGUAAAACACUGUUGUAAGAGAAGAAUGACAUUGAGAGUAACUGUUCAAUGUGCGACGGUAUCUUACCAGAAAGGACCGGCUAAAUACGUGCCAGCAGCCGCGGUAAUACGUAUGUUCCAAGCGUUAUCCGGAUUUAUUGGGCGUAAAGCGAGCGCAGACGGUUAUUUAAGUCUGAAGUGAAAGCCCUCAGCUCAACUGAGGAAUUGCUUUGGAAACUGGAUGACUUGAGUGCAGUAGAGGAAAGUGGAACUCCAUGUGUAGCGGUGAAAUGCGUAGAUAUAGGGAAGAACACCAGUGGCGAAGGGGGCUUUCUGGACUGUAACUGACGUUGAGGCUCGAAAGUGUGGGUAGCAAACAGGAUUAGAUACCUGGUA
rnacentral:rRNA from 1 species